UAAAAACCCUUGAACCUUUAAGGUAGAUUCAACCUAAAAGUUUUCCUGAAAACUCUAUAAAACCACACUGAGUUUUAUGGUUGAACUCGUAAAACCUUACAAGUGUUGAUAUUGAGACAAACCUCUCACAACACUUGGACCACUUACAAGAUGUAGAUCUUUUCUUCUAACACACUCUCAACAUACAUAAGAGGGGAAGAAGAAGUUGAAGAACUAGAGCACACAACCUUGAGAGCAACUCCCACACAAAGCUUGAACGAGAUCUAGAGCUUGAGCAAAAGCAAGAUAGAAAGAGUAGAGCUUUGAUCCAAAGAGAGCUUUAGCAAAGAUGGCAAGUGAUGACUUUGGCUCUUGGGUGUGCACCUCCUUAUAUAGUAGUCGUUGAUGGCAUGGAAGUAAUUUCUUCAUCUUCAAAACUCCUAGGAAGAAGAGCUUAAGAUUUGUAGUCGUUGGAGGCUUGGAGCUUCAUAUAGAUUUGAAUUUCAUCUUGGGAGAUUGUGUAGCAUUAACUCUAAGAUCAUGUUUGGAUUUCAUCUUGGGAGAUUGUGUAGCAUUUAAAUCCAAGGUCAUGAUUGUGUAACAUUUUGGGAGAUUGAAUCUUCACACGUUUUUGUGCUCCUCCAAUUUGAACUCUUCAACUAGGAUUUUGUGUAGCAUUGAUUCCAAGAUCUUUGUAGUUAAUAUGUUGGACAUGCUCUUGGAAUUUAUCAAGAUUGUCCUUUUACACGUAUUCUACACCUUGGGUCCAUUUGAAGCUUGAAUGAAUAGUUGUAGCUUUCACACAUUGUUGAUUAAUUAACCUUUAAGACAUUGAUCAACUUGAAACAAGAGUUAAUGCAAGCAAAUAGGUAUGCAUAAUUAAAUACAAGUUUCAAUAAUUAACUUGAUCAAUAGUAGAGAUUUGUUUAAUGGAAAUAAUUAAUAUUAAUCUCACUUUAGUUUAAUCAUAUAUCAAGUCAAUUUUAUCUAUAUGAGUUUAAUUGAUUUAUUCAUGUAACUUUAACUCAUAUAUUUUCUAUAUCUUGUUAAUUAGGGUUUAUUAUAUUUCAAAUUAAUUAACAACUAAAUAUGUCAUUGAGAAUCUUAUUUCUACAUUCUCCCCCUUUGUUAAUGGCAUAUUUGUUGUUGAGGAAUUUCAAACUCUAAUUUUAAUAUUUUGGCAUAUCUUAUCUUUACCUUAUCUAGCUCCCCCUAUAUUUCGUAAAUAUUGCACUCAUAAAGUAAUUUGAAAAUUUUACCUUGUUUAAAGCUUUUAUGAGUAUAUGCAGGUGAGAUCUAAAUAAGACAUAUACCAAGGUUAUUAGAAUAAAUACAGACUAAGGUUAUAUCAUACCUGAGUCUUUCUCCCCCUGCAAUUGACAAAUGAGUGUUUUGAAUUUUGACUUUAACCCAGUUUCUUUGACUUUGAUAGAUAUUGAUAGUUAUUAUACAAAGUCAUAUAAUAUGAGCCAAAAUAAUUUUAAAACAAAAGUUUGCCUAUAUUGGAUCAUAAUAUAUUCAUUGAGCAUAUAUCCAAAGUGAUGGGGGUGAAACCCGACCAGUACUCCAAAACGGGCAAGCAAGCGCCAAGCGGGGAACUCCGCUGGAAAUCGGACCGGAACUCAAGUGCGCAGAGCUCUGCUUCGCUAGGACUUCUUCCACUCCAAAUGACCUGCCUUUAAUGAGUGGGGGAUGCCUCAUAUUUAUAGGGAUUCUUAUGGGGGUAAUCUGGUCAUUUGGGCAGUAACCGCCUAACUGCCUAACUGAUCAGAUCGGGGCCCAAGGUCGAUUUUCCAGAGAUCGACUUUCUGGGGAUCGACUUUCCUGGUGAUCGACUUUAUUCAGAAGUCGAUCCUCAGGAAAGUCGGUCUUCCUAGGAUUCGACUUGGGACCUCCCCAACCCUAGAAUAGGUACCUCAACUCACCUUAGGCUAUCUGGACUUCUAGUUGCUGGUAAGUUGUGACCGGGUUCGGGAUACUGUAUCACCAGUACUCCUCCCUCCUCUGCGUAUUAGAUAUCUUGGGAUACGUUUUUUAGUACUAUGGUCUGUGUGUUGGACCUUGUACUAUCAGUAUUCCCCCCCUCUUUGCGUGUUGGGGUGUGGGUUUUUGGUGGUGUCCCAGGAUGCCAAACCCUCUCUCACCAAUUCUCCCCCCUCCACGCCUGUGAGGUUAUAUCUAUGCUUCCACGGAGGUUGUCAUAUGCUUUUGCUAACUAUUGUCCGGUUUGUCCUAGCCGAGGCAUACUCCUUGCGCACUUGCCUAGCCUGAUUUCCGAACGGAACCCUGCUUGCCCACCUUGACGCCUUGCCUGAGCUAUCUCCGAGCAAUGUUCGAGUCCCCUUCCCUGUGGCUGGGGUUGAGAGUUGUCUCUUCUACCUAUUUUUUAUAGGUGAAGUUCUCUCUUUUGAGCUCUCUUGCCUCCCUUAAUCUUGCUGUUUCUGCGGUUGAGGUUGAGCGUGCUUCCUUGUCUACCUAUGUUCUUCCAUAGGUGAGGUUUAUUUUUUGAAUACUUGUCCCCUCCCUUUGCUCGCUGUUUCCGCGGCUGAGGUUGAGCAUGGUCCCUCGUCUACCUAUGUUCUUCCGUAGGUGAGGACUAUUUUUUAAAUAUUUGCCCCCUCCCUUUGCUCGCUGCUUCCGCGGCUGAGAUUGAGCGUGGUCCCUUGUCUACCUACGUUCUUCCGUAGGUGAGGACUAUUUUUUGAAUACUUGCCCCCUCCCUUUGCUUGCUGUUUCUGCGGCUGAGGUUGAGCGUGGUCCCUCGUCUACCUACGUUCUUCCGUAGGUGAGGACUAUUUUUUGAAUACUUGCCCCCUCCCUUUGCUUGCUGUUUCUGCGGCUGAGGUUGAGCGUGGUCCCUCGUCUACCUACAUUCUUCCGUAGGUGAGGACUAUUUUUUGAAUACUUGCCCCCUCCCUUUGCUCGCUGCUUCCGCGGCUGAGGUUGAGCGUGGUCCCUCGUCUGCCUAUGUUCUUCCGUAGGUGAGGUUCAUUUUUGAGUACGUCCCUCGUCUACCUACGUUCUUCCGUAGGUGAGGUUGACUCUUGAAGACUUAACCCUCUGUCUACGUUUUUGUAGAAGGGGCGUGUGUUUAGUCGAUGUGUCCCCCGUCUACCUAUGUUCUUCCGUAGGUGAGGUUCACUUUUGAAUACUUACCCCUCUGUCUACGUUUUUUGUAGAAGGGGCGUGUGUUUAGUCGAUGUGCCCCUCGUCUACCUACGUUCUUCCGUAGGUGAGGUUCACUUUUGAGUACGUCCCUCGUCUACCUACGUUCUUCCGUAGGUGAGGUUCACUCUUGAGUACGUCCCUCGUCUACCUACGUUCUUCCGUAGGUGAGGUUCACUAUUUUUCUUGAAUGAGAUACGCAUCCUGACUCUGUUACCAUCAAGACUUUCUCCGCCCACGUUCUUCCGUCGGUAGAGUUAAUUUGGCGUCCUACUUUAUUACUGCGUUCAGUAAUUGUAGGAGUUCAAAUAUCUUAGAAUGGCUCAGUUCAUUUUGCUGCCGUAUCGCCGCCCGAGUUGUUUUCUCCUGUGUGGAUUUCCACGAUUCCUCAAGAGCAUUUCGCGUUACACUCUCCUGCCUUGGUGUGCUUCCGCCACUUUAACUUGUCAGGAUUCUUUUUCCUACACCCCUCCUGCGUAUGAAGAAAAAGUUGAUUCCCUCCCGUCUUGGCGUACUUUCGCAAUUCCAACUUGUCAGGGUUCUUUUUUCUACAUCCCUCCUGUGUGGGAAGAAAAAGUCGAUCCCCUUGUUGAAUCUGAUCGACUUUUGUGCAAAUGUCGAUCUGAGUGGUGCCCAUCGACUUUUGUAAAAAAGUCGAUUUGUUGGGUUCUUGUAUUGUUUCUUUUGCUAAAAGUCGAUUCCUGAUGCUUUGGCCAAAAAGUCGAGUCCUUGCGCCGAUCUUUGAAAGGGUUGUUCUUCUGAUCAGUACCAUUCUUUUCUGAAGAUGUCGACGUUUGUACAAAAAGUCGAUCUCAUCUCUCCCUGGAGAUGUCGACGUUGUAAAAAAGUCGACCCCACCUUUUUCUGAGGAUGUCGAUGUCGUGUGAUUGUUGACUCUAUCCUUUUCUGAAGAUGUCGAAGUUUGUACAAAAAGUCGAUAUCAUCUCUCCCUGGAGAUGUCGACGUUGUAAAAAAUUCGAUCCCACCUUUUUCUGAGGAUGUCGACUUCUGUGGGACUCGAUGCUUUCUUCUGGUCAGUACCAUCCUUUUCUAAAGAUGUCGACGUUUGUACAAAAAGUCGAUCUCAUCUCUCCCUGGAGAUGUCGACGUUGUAAAAAAGUCGAUCCCACCUUUUUCUGAGGAUGUCGAUGUCGUGUGAUUGUUGACUCUAUCCUUUUCUGAAGAUGUCGAAGUUUGUACAAAAAAUCGAUCUCAUCUCUCCCUGGAGAUGUCGACGUCGUACAAAAGUCGAUCCCAUCUUUUUCUGAGGAUGUUUAUCUGAAUGAUUGUGGAAUGUCGAUCCUGUCCUUCUCUUUUGAAGGUUUCGAAUUCCAAGAUAAAUGUCGACGUCUAUCCCCCUUCUGGGAAUGUCGAUCUGAAUGUUUGCGGAAUGUCGAUCCUGUCCUUCUAUUUUGAAGGUUUCGAAUUCCAAGAUAAAUGUUGACGUCUAUCCCCCCUCUGAGAAUGUCGAUCUGAAUGUUUGUGGAAUGUCGAUCCUGUCCUUCUAUUUUAAAGGUUUCGAAUUCCAAGAUAAAUGUCGACGACUAUCCCUCCUCUGGGAAUGUCGAUCUGAAUGUUUGUGGAAUGUCGAUCCUGUCCUUCUAUUUUGAAGGUUUCAAAUUCCAAUGCCAAUGUCGAUGCCUUUGUUCUGAAAUGUCGAUGUCAUUUGGUCGGAUUUCAGGGUUUUUCGCGAACUCGGUCGUCUUGGGCCUGCCGGGCCCGUGGGUUUCUCGGCCCAACGGUGAACCCGGGUGAACAGUGCCCGCGACGGUUCGUCUUCGACUUUCCCUUAUAAAUAGCAGAGGGGGAGUCAUUCGCUUCCCACCUACUUCCUUCGCUCUGAGGCAUCGACUUUCUUCGCAUCGACUUUCCAUUUUCUCCGCUUCGACUUCCAGCGUGAGUAAGGCUUCGACUUUAGCCUUGGAGGUGCAACUUUCUGGGGUCCGACUUUUGCCGUCGGGCUCUUCUGAGGUUGCACCGGAUUCGACUUCCUUGAGGUUCGACUUUUCUUAAAGUCGGUCUUUCUUCGAAGUUGUUCCCCUUUGGACUGUGGUCCAACUUUGUGAAGUUUGACUCCUUGUCAUCGACUUUUCAGAGUUGGAUCCAUUUUUACUGGGAUCGACUUCCAUGGGUUUUAGCUUUUGCUUUCCCGAAGUGAUACCUUUGGUCCGACUUUCUGGAGUCCGACUUUUGUCGUCGACUUCCUUGGAUCGGAUCUGCUGGGAUCGACUUCCUGAGACUUUUGUCUUCUGAAGUUGCCUUCCCUGUGAUUUGACUUUCUGGAGUCCGACUUUUGUCGUCGACUUUUUGAAGUUGUAUCACCGCGGGGAUCGACUUCCUGGUAUAACUAACUUUUUUUGGAGUUAGUUUUUCGAAGUCUCCUUCCCUCGUAUUAGUGCGAUUCCCUGAAGUCUGGAUCGACUUCCUCUUGGAAUCGACUUUUGCAACCUAAAACAACCAAACUAAUUGAAGUGUUAUGUGUUUUGUGCAGGUUAUGACCAUGUCUUUUGAUAACAACAUUCAGCAAGACCUUCCUCUUAACGAGGAACGGGCUAUUAUUGUUAGCCCUCAGGUUGAGACUGCUACCGUUGUGGUUGAGCCUGGAACUGAGCCGCCUUCCUCCUCUCCUGUUGGAAGUAAGCGAAAAGUUCUUUCUGCUCGCCGUAAGCGAAAGUCUGUUCCUAGUAAGUUUUUCUUUUUCUUUUUCGUAACUUACCUUUCAUUUGUUUUUUGUUUGUAGGUUCUUCCUACUCUUCCUCCUCGGGUUCGAGUUCCUCUAGCUCAGGGUCUUCUUCUACAUCCAUUUCUGGGAGUUUGGGUUCCUCUUUUUAUAGUUCUUCCUCUCCUGAACGAGAUGUAGAAGUUGGGGGCACUCCUCCUUCCACUACCGGGACUCCUCUACCCACCGCCAUUGUUUUGGCUCCCAUUCCGGAGGAUGUCCCUGUUGUUGAAGCACCCGCCCUGGCUACGGACGAUUCUACCCAACUUCCUCCCGAAGUCUGUAGUCAUAACAUUCACGUGUUAGAUGACUCACCCUUAGGUUAUCCUCCUGAGACAGAGGAGAAGUAUCCUUUUCCAUCUUCUCUUGAGGAGAGAGGCGCCCCAUCCUUCUAUCGGGAGAUGGAUGGCUCCUGGCGUCAGUGGUCUGUUCUCCUCUGACACGGUUUCCAUGUUGUCCCUAUCCUCGACCGAGGCAAGUAUGGGACUAGGUAUGGCUCCUUCUGCUCUGUCUCCCUGAGUGAUAUUCCGGGCUACCCUUUGCCAUCCAAUGCGGGUAGAUGUUCUAACACCCUUUCCUUAGACGCUGCUCAGAGAAUUUUAUGGGGGUUAGAGCUUAGAGAGAGAGUAUACUGGGCCUACCCUUCUGAGAACACCGGUGAUGUGCCCCCUAUUUUAUGCUGGCACUUCACCGUAUCUACUUCACUAACUUUCCGAUCCUUCCGAUCCCUUCAUUGGUUAGUGAAAUUCUUUUGUAUUCUGGGUUGUGCAUCUCUCAAAUGGGUGCUGCCUUCUUUUUUUAUGUCAGGGGCUUCAUAAAUGUCCUUAGGGAUGCUGGCAUAAUUUCAACUGCUCGGCUGUUCUUCCACUUCUUCUCCUUUCAAAAUCCGAAGAGGGGCAGCCCUUUUAUUGUAUGUGCCAGCCGUGCCUCUUCUGUUCAACACUCUGCUCUUUUGAAAGAUCCUCCGACUAGGCGGAACAAGAACGAGUUCAUUUUUGUGGAUUGCAGGCUAUGUCCCGGUAGCCGACUUCUUCCUGCAUCUAGUAGUGACCGUAGGCCCACUCCCCGUCCUGUUUUGACCUCGGACGAGGGAGCUUUUGUACAAAGGCUGGCCUUCCUUCACCCCAUCUCUGUGACUGUCGGUCACGCGAUAGAAGAUACUUUCAACCGACAAGGUUCUCCUUUGUUGAUUAAAAUCGAUUCGAUGAGCGUCCCAUGUAGGUGUCCGAGCCUUAAGCAAGUGCUUCUAUAGCCCUAGGGCAGCGUGAAUCCUGAACUUGGGAUCUUAUGGAGUAGAAUCCACGAUUUUGGUCCCGUGUUCUUAAGGAUUCGUUGCUGUCCAGCAGCUCUUAUGUGCCUGAAAUUAACACGGAAACUAGAGCAUCAAACAUGCAUAAACCAGGAGAGAAAAAACUUGCAACUUCGUUGCUGUCCAGCAGCGUUUAUGCGCCUGAAAACAACAUAAAAUGGAUUAUAAAACCAACAUCCAUCCGGAAUAAAAACUAGCAACUACGUUGCUGUUCAGUAGCAUUUAUGCGUCUGAAUCAAAACAGAAAAUAGCGACGAAAAUCCGCAAUAAUCAGGAAUAAAAUUUAUAAAUUCGCUGAUUCACGAAUUUACAAUAAUCAGGAAUAAUCAGGAAUCCGCAUUUAUGCGUAUGAAAACAGCACGAAAAUAGAGCAUAGACCAGCAUCAAUCAGGAAUAAAGACAAACAAUUCUGUUACUGUCUAGCAGCAUUUAUGCACCUGAUUCAAAACAGAAAGUAGAGACGAAAACCCGCAAUAAUCCGGAAUAAAAUUUGUAAAGUCAUGGCUGUCCAGCCGUAUUUAUGCGCUUGGAAUCAGCACGAAAACAGAGCAUAAAACCAACAUCAAACGAGAAUAAAGACUUGCAACUCCGUUACUUUCCAUCAACAUUUAUGCGCCCGAAUCAAAACAAAAAUAGAGUAACACCGUAAUAAAAACACUAGCGAAAAACUAAAAAUCGGGAAUAAAGACUAGCAUUGAAUAUUGUGAAGAUCCUCUUCACCCCUAAGCCUAGGAAUGUUAACACGACUACAAAUCUUAAACCAUGGGACACCAAAGACUAGCACAACAACAACAAAAACGUUACCUUCUUUCACCAUUUCACCUCAUCUCUAUAACAUGACCUUUCAACUACAUAUACUAGUAAAAGAAUCCUAUACCCACGUACCUUGAUCACUUCUUUAACCUUUUCUCUUCCCCUUCCAAGCCCUAGCCGAGAUCCUUCCCUUCCUCCUCCUUCAAUUUGCGUUCCCCUCUUCUCUUCUUUUUCUUUUUCUCUUUUCUCUUUCCCCCAACGUCUUCU
rnacentral:lncRNA from 1 species